rnacentral:rRNA from 1 species
GGGCGGGGCUACCUGCAGUCGAACGGUAACAGGAAGAAGCUUGCUGCUUUGCUGACGAGUGGCGGACGGGUGAGUAAUGUCUGGGAAACUGCCUGAUGGAGGGGGAUAACUACUGGAAACGGUAGCUAAUACCGCAUAACGUCGCAAGACCAAAGAGGGGGACCUUCGGGCCUCUUGCCAUCGGAUGUGCCCAGAUGGGAUUAGCUAGUAGGUGGGGUAACGGCUCACCUAGGCGACGAUCCCUAGCUGGUCUGAGAGGAUGACCAGCCACACUGGAACUGAGACACGGUCCAGACUCCUACGGGAGGCAGCAGUGGGGAAUAUUGCACAAUGGGCGCAAGCCUGAUGCAGCCAUGCCGCGUGUAUGAAGAAGGCCUUCGGGUUGUAAAGUACUUUCAGCGGGGAGGAAGGGAGUAAAGUUAAUACCUUUGCUCAUUGACGUUACCCGCAGAAGAAGCACCGGCUAACUCCGUGCCAGCAGCCGCGGUAAUACGGAGGGUGCAAGCGUUAAUCGGAAUUACUGGGCGUAAAGCGCACGCAGGCGGUUUGUUAAGUCAGAUGUGAAAUCCCCGGGCUCAACCUGGGAACUGCAUCUGAUAC